CCAUUUAUCAUCAUCAGUUUUUUCUCUUUCAUCAAUAUUCAUAAAUACAUAUUUCUGAUUUAUUCCUCCAAAUUCAUUCAAAUUCAAGAUCCUUUACGUUACUGCCUGAGCGAUUUUUGUAAUUUUGUAUCCAUCAGUCAUCUUCUAAUUGCAUAUUUAUCUACAGAUCUUCACUUCUUUUAUUUUCAUAGAGUUUUGAUUCAAGAAUUUAUUUAUUCAUUUCAAUGACUAAAAUUGAUAUCCCGAGGAGGGUUACGAGAGGCUCUGGUUGCUGCUAUGGAGAACGAAAGAAGAACAAAAAAGGUUAAUGACCAUAUAUUCUAUUUGCUUAAAGAAAUCUAACAUGCGAAAUUAUUAGAAAAUUUGAUCUUGUAUGUAUAUAGUUAAAAAAAUGAGUACAAGAACAUGAACAAAAAAGAGAUUGAGGGUUCUCUGAUUGUCAAUUUUGUAUAUAGUAGAACAUUUCUAUACAUAAUUUGUAUUAUUAUAUAAUUACAAGUUGAA